rnacentral:rRNA from 1 species
AACGAACGCUGGCGGCAGGCUUAACACAUGCAAGUCGAACGGAUGGGUGUAGCAAUACAUUUCAUCAGUGGCAGACGGGUGAGUAACACGUGGGAACCUUCCUCGUUGUACGGGACAACUCAGGGAAACUUGAGCUAAUACCGUAUAAGUCCGAGAGGAGAAAGAUUUAUCGCAAUGAGACGGGCCCGCGUCGGAUUAGCUAGUUGGUGGGGUAACGGCCUACCAAGGCGACGAUCCGUAGCUGAUCUGAGAGGAUGAUCAGCCACACU